UCCACAGAGCCUCUGUUUGUUUAAGCUUCGUCCAAAGUGACUAUACCACUUUUUAGUCACUUUGGCUUCGUCAGUCUGCUAAUCAGGUUUUGUUCGUCAAUUUGUUUGGAGUUUGUUACUGUUUUAUAUUUUAUCAAGAUUGGACAAAUCAAAGAUACUGGAAGAUAUUGACGUUAUGCUGGUGUCAUCAGCGAAAAGUUUGAAUAUUCCUGAGUUACAGUUAACUACAUCAUUUAUAUAAACAAGAAAAAGGGUUGGGCCGAGAACUGAGCCCUGGGGCACGCCAACAGAAACAAGUUCAUGAGGUGAUUCAUUGGCAGAGACAGUGACAAAUUGAUUUCGACCGUGCAGAUUUAUAAACGGGAACAACUCUGGCAACCUUAAGAUGAUCUGGAAAUAUACCAAAAGAAACAGAGUAAUUGAAUAGUUUGCAGAGAACUGGACUAAUUGUACUGUACUAAUUGUACUGAAUUUAUCCUGCAUCAGUAAAAUUUUA